rnacentral:rRNA from 1 species
GGAGGGAUCAUUACCGAGUUUACAACUCCCAAACCCCUGUGAACAUACCACUUGUUGCCUCGGCGGAUCAGCCCGCUCCCGGUAAAACGGGACGGCCCGCCAGAGGACCCCUAAACUCUGUUUCUAUAUGUAACUUCUGAGUAAAACCAUAAAUAAAUCAAAACUUUCAACAACGGAUCUCUUGGUUCUGGCAUCGAUGAAGAACGCAGCAAAAUGCGAUAAGUAAUGUGAAUUGCAGAAUUCAGUGAAUCAUCGAAUCUUUGAACGCACAUUGCGCCCGCCAGUAUUCUGGCGGGCAUGCCUGUUCGAGCGUCAUUUCAACCCUCAAGCACAGCUUGGUGUUGGGACUCGCGUUAAUUCGCGUUCCUCAAAUUGAUUGGCGGUCACGUCGAGCUUCCAUAGCGUAGUAGUAAAACCCUCGUUACUGGUAAUCGUCGCGGCCACGCCGUUAAACCCCAACUUCUGAAUGUUGACCUCGGAUCAGGUAGGAAUACCCGCUGAAC